AUUGAACGCUGGCGGCAUGCUUUACACAUGCAAGUCGAACGGCAGCGCGGGCUUCGGCCUGGCGGCGAGUGGCGAACGGGUGAGUAAUGCAUCGGAACGUGCCCAGUAGUGGGGGAUAGCCCGGCGAAAGCCUGAUUAAUACCGCAUACGACCUGAGGGUGAAAGCGGGGGACCGAAAGGCCUCGCGCUAUUGGAGCGGCCGAUGUCGGAUUAGCUAGUUGGUGGGGUAAAGGCUUACCAAGGCGACGAUCCGUAGCUGGUCUGAGAGGACGACCAGCCACACUGGGACUGAGACACGGCCCAGACUCCUACGGGAGGCAGCAGUGGGGAAUUUUGGACAAUGGGGGCAACCCUGAUCCAGCCAUGCCGCGUGCGGGAAGAAGGCCUUCGGGUUGUAAACCGCUUUUGUUCGGGAAGAAAUCCUCUGGGCUAAUACCCCGGGGGGAUGACGGUACCGGAAGAAUAAGCACCGGCUAACUACGUG
rnacentral:rRNA from 1 species